UAACCAAAUGACGCCCCCCAUCUCCCACUCUUCUGUCGCAUCUCUUCCACUCUCAAACUCGUCGUAACUCACAAACCUGGCGAGUUCACUCAUUGGUCCCUCCAUGGUCCUCGCUCUCUUAUCUUCUCCUUCUUCCACAUCACCUACCCGUACAAACCUCAUGAUUCCUUAACUGAUUCACGCGUUUUUUUCACUCUUUUGUUUUUGUUGAAACGAAUCCGAAGCCCUUUGAUAAAUAUUAGAAAAAUGGUAGCCAUUGGAUUAAAGUUUUGAUCCAAGGGCUUCCAUUUUUCUGAUUUUUAAUAGAAAAAUGGGAUUUUUGGAAUCUUUUGGAGGCCCACACGUUUUCUUGGAGAGCAAGGGAGAAGAUUCUGGGAUCUAUAUAUAAUAGGCUCAUUUUUGGUUGUAAGGGGGUUUUCAGAGAAGAAAUUUCGAGAAAAGUAGAAAAAAAAAUUAGGGUUUGGUCUUAGGCUUUAGAGGUCUUCUGUUCAUCUGAUAUUUGACGAAAGUUUGAUCCAAAAAUUUUUGUUUCUUUCUAUUUCCUUGUUUUUAUUUCAAAAGUCAGAGAAAACAAAAAUAAAAAAAAAGUAUACGAAAAUUUCUGUUACUUCUUUCAAUUUCGAUUUCUGGUGUUCAAACCAGGAAGUUUGAGUCCGAUCAUUUUGGGUUCCGAUCUGCGGUUCUGUGUCGCCUCAGAUUCUCAUCGCUGUAUUUGCUGUUCCAGGUCCCUUCCCUAUCUUUGUCUUAAUUUGAAUUAUUGUGAAAAUCAUAAUGAGAGUUGUUUUAAAAUGGGAAUAAAUUUUUUUUAUUUGGUUUUGAAGUUCAAGAAUUCUUUUGUUCCCUGUUUGCUUAGAGUGUCUACGUCUAAUUUGAGUUUAAUGUUCGACAUUAGUAUCUGCUAUGGUAUCUUGUUUCUUUAUUGGUUUCUUUUCCUUAUUAGAAUCUAAUUUAGGGUAAUAAUUUGACUUCAUUUACUUCCUUAGUCGUUGCCUACAUGAGUUCUUAAACAUGAUUCCCUUACCUUAUUUUAGUUGUGAUAACUUAAUACUAAAUUGGUAAAGUUUAGGCAGUGUUACAUGAGUUUAGUUGAUUAAGGAAUCGUAAGGAGUAGACAUUGCAUAUAAAUAUGUGUGUGUGUAUAUAUAUACACAAAAGUGUUGUAAUGGUCUAAUAACUCAUUAUAUGGUUGCUUUGCCUUUGGAUAUUGAAAUUACAACCGAAGAUGGCAGGAGGUUGACUAUUUUCUAAAUUUGCAUGGUCAAAAGUCAUGAAAUUGGAUUAGCUAAUAUUAAUGAGUUUUUAUUGUUUGACAUGAUAGUAUACUAUCCAUGUCUUAUAAUUAUAGAUGGCGGACUAAUG
rnacentral:lncRNA from 1 species